GUCUACGGCCACGCCACUCUGAACAAGCCCAAUCCUGUCUGAUCUUGGAAGCUAAGCAGGGUCGGGCCUGGUUAGUACUUGGAUGGGAGACCACGUAGGAAGACCAGGUGCUGUAGGUG
rnacentral:rRNA from 1 species